CUAACUUUGACCCCCAAAAUCUGUUACGCAUCUACAAGCGCCAAAAAACACCCGUGCUAAAUAGUUUCAAAAUUUUGUCCUGGGUUUAGAAAUACCCAGUGUUAACAUGUUCUUAGAUUUUUUAUUUUUAUUUUUUUUUUGCAAGUUAUAGGACAAUAAGUACCACUUAACUAUUUCCAAACCAUUUUUUCCCCCAAAAUAAACGAAAGUUACAUUGUAACACAGAUAUCUGUCAGGAAUCUCUGAAUAACCCUUCACAUGUAUAUAUUUUUUAAAAGAAAACAACCUAAGGUAUUAAACUUGGAGUAUUUUGACUCUUCAUGCAACCAUUUUACCACCAAUCUAUGCCAAUUGUAAAAAAA